UCUAAGUAGCUGCAGGAACAGAAAUCAACCGAGAUUCCCAAAGUAGUGGCGAGCGAAAUGGGAUCAGCCUUGUACUCUUUAGCAGUAUUGUUAGCAAAGCGGAAUGGAAAGUCCGGCCAUAGUGGGUGAUAGCCCCGUAUGCGAAAACAGUAUUGUGGAACUAGGUGUACGACAAGUAGGGCGGGACACGUGAAAUCCUGUCUGAAGAUGGGGGGACCAUCCUCCAAGGCUAAAUACUCGUAAUCGACCGAUAGUGAACCAGUACCGUGAGGGAAAGGCGAAAAGAACCCCGGG
rnacentral:rRNA from 1 species